rnacentral:RNase_MRP_RNA from 1 species
GAACACGAUUUAGAAUUGCAGAGUCAAGUGGACCGCGUCCGCCUCCUCCGUGGGGCGGGCGCGGUGGCUUGGGGAAAUUCCCCGGACACCAGGGCAGAAAGUGCCAGCGUCGAUGCGCGGACCCCCUCGCCGCCGAAGCCGAGCCUCUUGGGGCUCCCGUGGAGAUGGCCACGGUCUCUGGACCGUGGCCGGAGCGGCGCGCACGCGGGCGCACGCGGGAGGACUGAUCGUCAUGCUAACAGUUAUGCAAUUGGCUCAACGGCCUCUACGGGCUUCGUCCCGCUGUUUGGAGCUAACCCGACGGGGAUUACUCAAGUCGUGUU